rnacentral:rRNA from 1 species
AACGAACGCUGGCGGCAGGCCUAACACAUGCAAGUCGAGCGCCCGGAUUUAUCCGGGAGCGGCGCACGGGUGAGUAACGCGUGGGAACAUGCCCUGAAGUACGGAACAACCUGGGGAAACCUUGGCUAAUACCGUAUACGCCCUGAGGGGGAAAGAUUUAUCGCUUUGGGAUUGGCCCGCGUUGGAUUAGCUAGUUGGUGUGGUAACGGCGCACCAAGGCGACGAUCCAUAACUGGUCUGAGAGGAUGACCAGGCACACUGGGACUGAGACACGGCCCAGAAUCCUACGGGAGGCAGCAGUGGGGAAUAUUGGACAAUGGGCGCAAGCCUGAUCCAGCCAUGCCGCGUGAGUGAAGAAGGCCUUCGGGUUGUAAAGCUCUUUCAGCGGGGACGAUGAUGACGGUACCCGCAGAAGAAGCCCCGGCUAACUUCGUGCCAGCCGCCGCCGUAA